rnacentral:rRNA from 1 species
UACGAAGGGGGCUAGCGUUGCUCGGAAUCACUGGGCGUAAAGGGUGCGUAGGCGGUUCUUUAAGUCAGGGGUGAAAUCCUGGAGCUCAACUCCAGAACUGCCCUUGAUACUGAAGGUCUUGAGUUCGGGAGAGGUGAGUGGAACUGCGAGUGUAGAGGUGAAAUUCGUAGAUAUUCGCAAGAACACCAGUGGCGAAGGCGGCUCACUGGCCCGAUACUGACGCUGAUGCACGAAAGCGUGGGGAGCAAACAGG